GAUGAACGCUAGCGGCAGGCCUAACACAUGCAAGUCGAACGGUAACAUGAGUAGCAAUACUUGAUGACGAGUGGCGCACGGGUACGUAACGCGUAUGCAACUUACCUCUAACUGGAGAAUAGCCUUCCGAAAGGAAGAAUAAUACUCCAUAAUAUUACGAUGUGGCAUCACAUUGUUCUUAAAGCUUCGGCGGUUAGAGAUGGGCAUGCGUCUGAUUAGCUUGUUGGUGAGGUAACGGCUCACCAAGGCAACGAUCAGUAGGGGGCCUGAGAGGGUUAUCCCCCACACUGGUACUGAGACACGGACCAGACUCCUACGGGAGGCAGCAGUGAGGAAUAUUGGUCAAUGGACGAAAGUCUGAACCAGCCAUGCCGCGUGCAGGAUGAAUGCCCUAUGGGUUGUAAACUGCUUUUAUAUAGGAAUAAACCCCUUUACGUGUAAAGGGCUGAAGGUACUAUAAGAAUAAGGACCGGCUAACUCCGUGCCAGCAGCCG
rnacentral:rRNA from 1 species